CCUACGGGGCGCAGCAGUGAGGAAUAUUGGUCAAUGGACGCGAGCCUGAACCAGCCAAGUAGCGUGAAGGAUGACUGCCCUACGGGUUGUAAACUUCUUUUGUAAGGGAAUAAAGUGAGGCACGUGUGCCUGUUUGUAUGUACUUUAUGAAUAAGGAUCGGCUAACUCCGUGCCAGCAGCCGCGGUAAUACGGAGGAGCCAAGCGUUAUCCGGAUUUAUUGGGUUUAAAGGGUGCGUAGAGGGAGCGGUAAGUCAGUGGGAAAAUGGAGGGGCUCAACCCGUUCCCGCCUUUGAAACUGGCGUGCUAGAGUGGAAGAGAAGUAUGUGGAAUGCGUGGUGUAGCGGUGAAAUGCAUAGAUAUCACGCAGAACCCCGAUUGCGAAGGCAGCAUGCCGGCUUCCUACUGACGCUGAAGCACGAAAGCGUGGGGAGCGAACAGGAUUAGAUACCCUGGUAGUC
rnacentral:rRNA from 1 species